rnacentral:rRNA from 1 species
AAUAGAUACCCAGGUAGUCCACGCCGUAAACGAUGUCGACUUGGAGGUUGUUCCCUUGAGGAGUGGCUUCCGGAGCUAACGCGUUAAGUCGACCGCCUGGGGAGUACGGCCGCAAGGUUAAAACUCAAAUGAAUUGACGGGGGCCCGCACAAGCGGUGGAGCAUGUGGUUUAAUUCGAUGCAACGCGAAGAACCUUACCUACUCUUGACAUCCAGAGAACUUAGCAGAGAUGCUUUGGUGCCCUCGGGAACUCUGAGACAGGUGCUGCAUGGCUGUCGUCAGCUCGUGUUGUGAAAUGUUGGGUUAAGUCCCGCAACGAGCGCAACCCUUAUCCUUUGUUGCCAGCGGUUCGGCCGGGAACUCAAAGGAGACUGCCAGUGAUAAACUGGAGGAAGGUGGGGAUGACGUCAAGUCAUCAUGGCCCUUACGAGUAGGGCUACACACGUGCUACAAUGGCGUAUACAAAGAGAAGCGACCUCGCGAGAGCAAGCGGACCUCAUAAAGUACGUCGUAGUCCGGAUUGGAGU